AAAAAUAUAGGGAAAAAAGUACAAAAAACUUCUUCAGAUAUGACCUGUUCAAAAUCAUGCAAAAUCCACUUUCACCGUCCUAAGAGCCCAAAGGUUUGAGAACACCAAGCGCUCAGGCUCCUGACAGCAGCAUGGCAGAACUUGAUCUUCACCACACAGAUGUUGGGUUGAACCAGCAGGGAUGAAGAACAGGCUGCCCGGCUGUACUUCCACAGGGCUGAAACCACAGUCACAAAACAGGGCCACUGAGCCCCAGGGGACAGCUCAGCCAGUUGAAAGGCACAUUAGCAAUGCCUUUCUGCACUGGAGAAGCCUGAGAGUGCUCACAUGACUUGCAAGUUGGGUUUUGGGCUUCUUUGCCAAUAGCAAGGAGGAAGCUGACCUCACCAUAUCAGUCUGAACUCUUUUUUUUUUUUUUCUUUUUUCUUUCUUAAAUACAUUAAAUAUUAACCAUUUCACAAAUACUGGGGGCAAAUUGCUGCCAGGACAAAGUUCCCCGCUUGACAACAAGUGGUGCCUAAGGAAGAUCGACUGGUGAUGGGAGUCUCCUCCCUCUAGCACUUCCACCAGCAACUGCAGAGAAAACUCUCUGAGCUCUGAUGUGCCUUUCAGAGGGCACGGGGCCUCUCCAAAAGGCAGAGCCACAACAAAAGCCUUCCUGGAGGACUUCUGCUAAUUCCUCACACAGCACAGCUGCCAACCAUUGGUACCUCGCUGCUGCUACCCACCUCCUCCCCCCUCACUAAACUCUCAGCGCCCAGCCCCGUAUCCAGGAGAACCACCUCUCCCACUCUCUUCUGAGCUUCCUCUGGCCCUCCUCCAGGACUCCCAGCNCCACCUCUCCCACUCUCUUCUGAGCUUCCUCUGGCCCUCCUCCAGGACUCCCAGCAUGCCCCUGCCUUGCCUACACCUGCAGCCAGCGGUGCACAGCUGCACUCAGGGCUUCCCCGCAAGACACGCGUCCGGACGGACAGACGGCACCAAGCCUCCAUCCUCUGCCACUGCUGGACACAGCUCCUCUCAGACCACAUGGCCACUUCUGGAAAAGUUAUCCGAUGCAGAGCUGCAGUUGCCUGGGCAGCGGGCAAAUCACUCUCUGUUGAGGAGAUAGAGGUUGCACCUCCAAAGGCAC
rnacentral:lncRNA from 1 species